AGACGGUUCAUUUGCAGACUCCCAGGCCACCAGCUUCAGUUUCCGGAAAAUGCAGAUGGGGACGGCAGAUGAAAUGAAGCCAUCAGCAGCCCACAGGACAGUCUCAAGAGGAGUGACUGUCCCUGUCCGCUGCAGUUGCUGCUGGGGAGCAAUUUGCCCUUGAAGCCAAUCUACCAUCCCUAAACUGACAAUUUCAUUUCCCUCCCAGCCUACCCCCUGCCCCGAAGAUCUGCUGAAGCCACGACUUCCGUCUGAAGAGCCGGCAGGAUAAUAGGUGCCAGACUUCAAGCUUGGGACUGGAAUCAUCUGAAGACUUGUUUGAUCAAGACUUGGAUAUGUAGUGGGCAACUGAUGCUGGCUGACCUCAAGUGGAGCUGGACCCGAUGCCACAGUAGGGCAGGGUCUUAGAACCCUGAUCUGGUCUCCAAAUUUCAUAGGGGAGAAAACGGAGGCUAAGAGCAGAAAAGAAACUCCUUGGGCAUUCUCGGUAUAUAUCAACAGGUCCAAAAUAAAUUUAUGGAAAAUGCA